UUUAAACGCAGCUCAUGAGUUUCUGUGGCCAACAUUAAUCAUUUGUUUUAUUUGAAUUUUUUUAAAAAAAAAUUAAAAACAUAAGUCACGCAUAAAGUACUAUUCAUAUUUUAUCAUCUAAUAACAAUAAAAAUAUUAAUUAUAAAAAAUUCAAAUAAGAUAGACGAUCAAAGUUGGACAUAAAAACUCAUGACUACGCUUAAA
rfam:Oryza sativa Japonica Group DNA, chromosome 6, cultivar: Nipponbare, complete sequence.